GGCAGUAGCACUGAUACUGCUGGUUGUUGUCGGAAUGGGACAAGAAGCUCUGACACCCGACCAGAUUAUCAAGGUUCUGAUGAGUAAAUCUCCUCCCUACUGGAAAGUGAUGUUUGCUUUGGACAGCAGUGGUAGCAUCAGCCUCGGGGAAUGGUUGGAUAGUAAAUUAUUGUGCAGGGACAUCAUAAGAAUCAUUAACAACACCCCUGAUCCCAUCAGUAUAGACCCCCAAAAACACAAGCUUGGCCUGGUACGCUUCUCUGACACCGAGGUUACAAAGGUCAUUCACAGACUGGGGACCAUACUGCCAUCUGAUAUUGAUACUUCUGCUACCCUGGUGUAGGAAUAAUUAUUUGUGUUGUUGCUGUUGGUCAGAAACUCU